GCCAGGCGUGGUGGUGCACGCCUGUAGUCCCAGCUACUCGGAGGCUGAGGCAGAAGAAUGGCGUGAACCCGGGAGGCGGAGCUUGCAGUGAGCUGAGAUCGGGCCACUGCACUCCAGCCUGGGUAACAAAGCAAGACUCUGUCUCAA
rfam:Macaca mulatta chromosome 20, whole genome shotgun sequence.